GGGGUGCUCGAGUGGCGAACGGGUGAGUAACACGUGAGUAACCUGCCCUUGACUUUGGGAUAACUUCAGGAAACUGGGGCUAAUACCGGAUAGGAGCUCCUGCUGCAUGGUGGGGGUUGGAAAGUUUCGGCGGUUGGGGAUGGACUCGCGGCUUAUCAGCUUGUUGGUGGGGUAGUGGCUUACCAAGGCUUUGACGGGUAGCCGGCCUGAGAGGGUGACCGGCCACAUUGGGACUGUGAUACGGCCCAG
rnacentral:rRNA from 1 species